AUAUUUGACAAUGGGCGAAAGCCUGAUCCAGCCAUGCCGCGUGUGUGAAGAAGGUCUUCGGAUUGUAAAGCACUUUAAGUUGGGAGGAAGGGCAGUACGUUAAUACCUUGCUGUUUUGACGUUACCGACAGAAUAAGCACCGGCCAACUCCGUGCCAGCAGCCGCGGUAAUACGAAGGGUGCAAGCGUUAAUCGGAAUUACUGGGCGUAAAGCGCGCGUAGGUGGUUUGUUAAGUUGGAAGUGAAAGCCCCGGGCUCAACCUGGGAAUUGCUUUCAAAACUGACGGGCUAGAGUACGGUAGAGGGUAGUGGAAUUUCCUGUGUAGCGGUGAAAUGCGUAGAUAUAGGAAGGAACACCAGUGGCGAAAGCGACCACCUGGGCUAAUACUGACACUGAGGUGCGAAAGCGUGGGGAGCAAACAGG
rnacentral:rRNA from 1 species